rnacentral:rRNA from 1 species
GAUGAACGCUAGCGGCAGGCUUAAUACAUGCAAGUCGAGGGACAGCACAGGUAGCAAUACUGGGUGGUAACCGGCAAACGGGUGCGGAACACGUACACAACCUUCCUUUAAGUGGAGGAUAGCCCAGAGAAAUUUGGAUUAAUACCCCGUAAUAUAGUUGAAUGGCAUCAUUUGAUUAUUAUAGCUACGGCGCUUAAUGAUGGGUGUGCGGCUGAUUAGAUAGUUGGCGGGGUAACGGGCCACCAAGUCUACGAUCAGUAGCUGAUGUGAGAGCAUGAUCAGCCACACGGGCACUGAGACACGGACCCGACUCCUACGGGAGGCAGCAGUAAGGAAUAUUGGUCAAUGGACGCAAGUCUGAACCAGCCAUUCCGCGUGAAGGAUUAAGGUCCUCUGGAUUGUAAACUUCUUUUAUUUGGGACGAAAAAGGGCCUUUCUAGGUCAACUGACGGUACCAGAUGAAUAAGCACCGGCUAACUCCGUGCCAGCCGCCGCCGUAAUAC